GCCUUGUAAAAAAACAUGGCUGCAAUUAUAGUGAAAUGUAAAUAUGUUCCUUGAGUUGAGUGAAACUGUGAAACCAGUGGAACUACAGGAAACUACAAAUCAAUUUAUCAAGGAUUUUAUUUCUAUUUAUUUAUUUUCUGUAUAUUAUUGUAUAGUAUUGUUAAUAAAGAGUUAUAGUUUGAUUUGUGCUCGGUUAAUUUCAGUGUUCGAUAGUAAAAGUGCAAAAGUGUUUUUGUUUUUCGUUCAAAAUGAAGCGCUGUUGCGUGCCUAAGUGUAAAACAGCUAUUAAUUUACGUGCUGUACCAUGUACUGAUGUUACUAGAUGGAAGAAGAAGGACUUGAUCAUUAGAAAUCAGCAUGCUCAAUGGGCUUUCAUUGAACGGGCUUAUGCUACUGAUGGUGCAGGAGGACGUGCCAGAACCAUAGAUUUAAACGAUAAACAUAUAAACUCAAGUUCCUACGAUAAGAUGAAGAAUACCUGGAUCACUGGGCAUCUGCAUGCUCAAUAUGCUUCCAUCAAUGUUAAGAAUAUGCUACUGUUGGUGUAGGAGGAGGGUGUCCGAGAACAUAAAAAAUUACUUAAGAUGAAGGUCAAUUAUUAUGCUUCGGACGUCUUCAGUUACAGAGAUACACUGUACACUGCCUUUUACUUGGGAAAAUGAAGUCAUACGAAGAUAUUAGUUUUAGUGUUUCACAAUUAUGUUAACAUAACUCUCUUACAUACUUAUAACAUAAGCCUCUCUGGUUCAGUGGUUACCCUAUGUGGUCACGAGGUCCGGGUUUAUAUAAGAUACUGAGCUGUUCAUCUAAGAAAUUUUGACUUUUCUGAUCUACAUGUGCUCUUUAGUAUAAAAAAAGUUCUCCGUCUCCUAUAAAAAUGGUUGAGGUGUCAUUCGAUUCGGAAUUGAAUGUACACAGUUUUUGAAAAAUUUGAAGGCUCGCUCACUAAAAUUGCAAAAGUUAUAAAUAAUUCACUAAAAAUGAAAAAGGGGUUCAAGCAUUUUUAUAGGAGACAGAACUUUUUUUUACUAAAGAGCAGUGAGCACAUUCCAUCCAGUUUAAAUGCGUUAUAUCCAUUAAUUACGCGACAUCUGUCAUAUAUUUUGUGAAGUAGUCAUAUAAUUUUGUAACUGUACAAUUUGGUAUUUUACUGCAAGGAAAUGUUUACAUUUUUAUUAAAGAAAUAAAUAAAAGA